AGGAAAUCUCAGGAUAAAACAGUGCUGGCAAACAUCAUUUUGUUUAAAGUAUCGUAUCAAUAUAUAUUUGUUGAGAAAAUAUUCAAGUUCUUUGCAAACUGUAACACUUGUUUAGGAAAAAAGAUAGAGAGAAGAAAUUAGGAUCAGUUAUUUACUUGAGGCACAUGAGUGUUCUUCAUGUAUGACUCAAGGACAUCCCUUCUUUCCUCCCCGGUCUUCCAUCUUCCAUCUGUUUUCCUCCUUCUUCCCAUCUCCCUUUCCUCAUGCUCCUCCCCCUCUCCCUCACCUACAGGACUGAGAAUUCCUGUGGUCUCCUGAGAUCAGUUCAGUUUCUUUCCCCCUGAUUGUAUACAAGCUGUGGAAAGUUUUAGUCUUGUCGACUCCACGACCCACAUUAGUCAGGCAGAAGCCCCCGUUUACAAGGUACCCGUUGAGCCUUGGCAAGGUGCAUGACACACACUUGGUCACUGGAGAAAUGAUGAGUAGAGAAUGACAAAUAGAAGAGGGGAGCUUUGAGCCUGAGCUCUCUGGAGCAUAAGAGUGGUUGAGGCUUGGCCCUUGCCACCUAGAUUUCACACAACGUGUCAGGAAUCCUGGAUGCCCAGAAAGAAACCUGUUCCAGGGCUGGAGCCCCAACAUAGAGCUUUCAUUUAGGCAGUGUUGAGCAAUAAUAUGUGGUUGGAGCUCUGCAGAGGGACCCCAUAGGUGCAUUGCGUAACGAAGCUGUGGGAGAAAGGUCUCACCCCUAACAAUUCCAGAAUUAUAAAUCUACCAGCCGCUUGCAACUUCAGCGUGGAAAAGCCAGGGGCAUUAAACUCCAAACUGUGAGAGCAGCCAUGUGGGCUGCACCCUGCAAAGCCACAGACGCAGGAAUUUCGAGUGCGGUAUCCCUAUGUGCAUUGAACAUAUCUUCAUCCUUCUCAAAUUUGCUACUGAAACACCCACUGGCCAGGCGCGGUGGCUCACGCCUGUACUCCCAGAACUUUG